AGAGUUUGAUCAUGGCUCAGAUUGAACGCUGGCGGCAGGCCUAACACAUGCAAGUCGAACGGUAACAGGAAGAAGCUUGCUUCUUUGCUGACGAGUGGCGGACGGGUGAGUAAUGUCUGGGAAACUGCCUGAUGGAGGGGGAUAACUACUGGAAACGGUAGCUAAUACCGCAUAACGUCGCAAGACCAAAGAGGGGGACCUUCGGGCCUCUUGCCAUCGGAUGUGCCCAGAUGGGAUUAGCUAGUAGGUGGGGUAACGGCUCACCUAGGCGACGAUCCCUAGCUGGUCUGAAAGGAUGACCAGCCACACUGGAACUGAGACACGGUCCAGACUCCUACGGGAGGCAGCAGUGGGGAAUAUUGCACAAUGGGCGCAAGCCUGAUGCAGCCAUGCCGCGUGUAUGAAGAAGGCCUUCGGGUUGUAAAGUACUUUCAGCGGGGAGGAAGGGAGUAAAGUUAAUACCUUUGCUCAUUGACGUUACCCGCAGAAGAAGCACCGGCUAACUCCGUGCCAGCAGCCGCGGUAAUACGGAGGGUGCAAGCGUUAAUCGGAAUUACUGGGCGUAAAGCGCACGCAGGCGGUUUGUUAAGUCAGAUGUGAAAUCCCCGGGCUCAACCUGGGAACUGCAUCUGAUACUGGCAAGCUUGAGUCUCGUAGAGGGGGGUAGAAUUCCAGGUGUAGCGGUGAAAUGCGUAGAGAUCUGGAGGAAUACCGGUGGCGAAGGCGGCCCCCUGGACGAAGACUGACGCUCAGGUGCGAAAGCGUGGGGAGCAAACAGGAUUAGAUACCCUGGUAGUCCACGCCGUAAACGAUGUCGACUUGGAGGUUGUGCCCUUGAGGCGUGGCUUCCGGAGCUAACGCGUUAAGUCGACCGCCUGGGGAGUACGGCCGCAAGGUUAAAACUCAAAUGAAUUGACGGGGGCCCGCACAAGCGGUGGAGCAUGUGGUUUAAUUCGAUGCAACGCGAAGAACCUUACCUGGUCUUGACAUCCACGGAAGUUUUCAGAGAUGAGAAUGUGCCUUCGGGAACCGUGAGACAGGUGCUGCAUGGCUGUCGUCAGCUCGUGUUGUGAAAUGUUGGGUUAAGUCCCGCAACGAGCGCAACCCUUAUCCUUUGUUGCCAGCGGUCCGGCCGGGAACUCUAAGGAGACUGCCAGUGAUAAACUGGAGGAAGGUGGGGAUGAUGUCAAGUCAUCAUGGCCCUUACGACCAGGGCUACGCACGUGCUACAAUGGCGCAUACAAAGAGAAGCGACCUCGCGAGAGCAAGCGGACCUCAUAAAGUGCGUCGUAGUCCGGAUUGGAGUCUGCAACUCGACUCCAUGAAGUCGGAAUCGCUAGUAAUCGUGGAUCAGAAUGCCACGGUGAAUACGUUCCCGGGCCUUGUACACACCGCCCGUCACACCAUGGGAGUGGGUUGCAAAAGAAGUAGGUAGCUUAACCUUCGGGAGGGCGCUUACCACUUUGUGAUUCAUGACUGGGGUGAAGUCGUAACAAGGUA
rnacentral:rRNA from 1 species